AAACACCAUUUGGUAUCUGACUUGCAGUCAUUUUUUUGUGAUUGUGUGUCUUGAAACAUGGCAGAAAUCAAAGGUUAACGGUUCUUGCGACACUGGUUGCUCACUUAUGAGCUUCGAGUUACUAUAUGCCCGUGUACAUGU
rnacentral:snoRNA from 1 species